GCUCACAUGCAUUAGAACGGUAACAGGAAGCACCUGCUGCUUCGCUGACGAGUGGCGGACGGGUGAGUAAUGUCUGGGAAACUGCCUGAUGGAGGGGGAUAACUACUGGAAACGGUAGCUAAUACCGCAUAACGUCGCAAGACCAAAGAGGGGGACCUUCGGGCCUCUUGCCAUCGGAUGUGCCCAGAUGGGAUUAGCUAGUAGGUGGGGUAACGGCUCACCUAGGCGACGAUCCCUAGCUGGUCUGAGAGGAUGACCAGCCACACUGGAACUGAGACACGGUCCAGACUCCUACGGGAGGCAGCAGUGGGGAAUAUUGCACAAUGGGCGCAAGCCUGAUGCAGCCAUGCCGCGUGUAUGAAGAAGGCCUUCGGGUUGUAAAGUACUUUCAGCGGGGAGGAAGGUGUCGAGGUUAAUAACCUCAGCAAUUGACGUUACCCGCCAGAAGAAGCACCGUGAUAACUCCGUUGCCAGCGAGCCAGCGGGUAAUAACGGAGGUGUGCCAAGCCGUUCAAUCGGGAAUUCACUAGGGGCGUUAAAAACGGCACAGCAAGGACUGAUCUUGUCAAGGUCCGGACUGGUGAAGAUCCCACGUGGCUCCAACCUAGGAACCUGCAUACGAAAAUGGCAUGGUAGAGUCUGGAGAGGGGGGAGA
rnacentral:rRNA from 1 species